ACAGCAGUCGCCGCGGGAAAACGGGGGGGGCAAGCGUUGUUCGGAUUUAUUGGGCGUAAAGGGUGCGUAGGCGGUUUGGCAAGUCUUGUGUGAAAUCUUCGGGCUCAACCCGAAGCCUGCACGAGAAACUACCGGGCUUGAGUAUUGGAGAGGUGAGUGGAAUUUCCGGUGUAGCGGUGAAAUGCGUAGAUAUCGGAAGGAACACCUGUGGCGAAAGCGGCUCACUGGACAAUAACUGACGCUGAUGCACGAAAGCUAGGGGAGCAAACAGGAUUAGAUACCCGGGUAGUCCCUGUCUCUUAUAC
rnacentral:rRNA from 1 species